rnacentral:tRNA from 2 species
GGCCCUAUCGUCUAGCGGUUAGGACGUCGCCUUCUCAAGGCGGUAACCCGGGUUCGACUCCCGGUAGGGUCA